UGUUUCGGCUAGGGGGCCAUCCCGGCUUACCAACCCGAUGCAAACUGCGAAUACCGGAGAAUGUUAUCACGGGAGACACACGGCGGGUGCUAACGUCCGUCGUGAAGAGGGAAACAACCCAGACCGCCAGCUAAGGUCCCAAAGUCAUGGUUAAGUGGGAAACGAUGUGGGAAGGCCCAGACAGCCAGGAUGUUGGCUUAGAAGCAGCCAUCAUUUAAAGAAAGCGUAAUAGCUCACUGGUCGAGUCGGCCUGCGCGGAAGAUGUAACGGGGCUAAACCAUGCACCGAAGCUGCGGCAGCGACGCUGAUGCGUUGUUGGGUAGGGGAGCGUUCUGUAAGCCUGUGAAGGUGGCCUGUGAGGG
rnacentral:rRNA from 1 species